UACAGAGGGGGCAAGCGUUGUUCGGAAUUACUGGGCGUAAAGGGCGCGUAGGCGGCCUUCUAAGUCGAACGUGAAAUCCCCGGGCUCAACCCGGGAACUGCGUCCGAUACUGGAAGGCUUGAAUCCGGGAGAGGGAUGCGGAAUUCCAGGUGUAGCGGUGAAAUGCGUAGAUAUCUGGAGGAACACCGGUGGCGAAGGCGGCAUCCUGGACCGGUAUUGACGCUGAGGCGCGAAAGCCAGGGGAGCAAAGCGGGU
rnacentral:rRNA from 1 species